rnacentral:rRNA from 1 species
UGGAGGAAAGCAGGGGAUCGCAAGACCUUGCGCUUUUGGAGUGGCCGAUGCCUGAUUAGCUAGUUGGUAGGGUAAUGGCUUACCAAGGCGACGAUCAGUAGUUGGUCUGAGAGGACGACCAGCCACACUGGGACUGAGACACGGCCCAGACUCCUACGGGAGGCAGCAGUGGGGAAUUUUGGACAAUGGGCGAAAGCCUGAUCCAGCAAUGCCGCGUGAGUGAAGAAGGCCUUCGGGUUGUAAAGCUCUUUCAGUCGAGAAGAAAAGGUUGUGACUAAUAAUCACAACUCAUGACGGUAUCGACAGAAGAAGCACCGGCUAACUACGUGCCAGCAGCCGCGAUAAUACGUAGGGUGCGAGCGUUAAUCGGAAUUACUGGGCGUAAAGGGUGCGCAGGCGGCUUUGUAAGUCAGAUGUGA